rnacentral:piRNA from 1 species
AUCUCACUGUCGAGGUUAUAGUGAGC